rnacentral:rRNA from 1 species
UUCACUUCGGUGAAGAGUGGCGAACGGGUGAGUAAUACAUAAGUAACCUGGCAUCUACAGGGGGAUAACUGAUGGAAACGUCAGCUAAGACCGCAUAGGUGUAGGGAUCGCAUGAACUCUAUAUGAAAAGUGCUACGGGACUGGUAGAUGAUGGACUUAUGGCGCAUUAGCUUGUUGGUAGGGUAACGGCCUACCAAGGCGACGAUGCGUAGCCGACCUGAGAGGGUGACCGGCCACACUGGGACUGAGACACGGCCCAGACUCC